GAGUUUGAUCUUGGCUCAGAUUGAACGCUGGCGGCAGGCCUAACACAUGCAAGUCGAGCGGUAGAGAGAAGCUUGCUUCUCUUGAGAGCGGCGGACGGGUGAGUAAUGCCUAGGAAUCUGCCUGGUAGUGGGGGAUAACGCUCGGAAACGGACGCUAAUACCGCAUACGUCCUACGGGAGAAAGCAGGGGACCUUCGGGCCUUGCGCUAUCAGAUGAGCCUAGGUCGGAUUAGCUAGUUGGUGAGGUAAUGGCUCACCAAGGCGACGAUCCGUAACUGGUCUGAGAGGAUGAUCAGUCACACUGGAACUGAGACACGGUCCAGACUCCUACGGGAGGCAGCAGUGGGGAAUAUUGGACAAUGGGCGAAAGCCUGAUCCAGCCAUGCCGCGUGUGUGAAGAAGGUCUUCGGAUUGUAAAGCACUUUAAGUUGGGAGGAAGGGCAGUAAAUUAGUACUUUGCUGUUUUGACGUUACCGACAGAAUAAGCACCGGCUAACUCUGUGACAGCA
rnacentral:rRNA from 1 species